rnacentral:rRNA from 1 species
GUCUACGGCCAUGCCACCCUCAACAAGCCCGAUGUCUGUCUGAUCUCGGAAGCUAAGCAGGGUUGGGCCUGGUUAGUACUUGGAUGGGAGACCACCUAAAAAGACCAGGUGCUGUAGGCA